UGCCCUCCUUAAUGCUUGUCACCCAUUUAACCCACCCCGACACCCCCCACCCCAAUCAACCCUCAGUUCAUUCUCUGUAUUCAAGAAUCUCUUAUGGUUUGCCUCCCUCUCUGCUUUUAUCUUCUUUUUCCUUUUAUCUUCUUUUUCCUUCCCCUAUGUUCAUCUGUUAAGGGUUUCAAAUUCCACAUAUGGGUGAAAUCAUGUAAUAUCUGUCUUUCUCUGACUGACUUAUUGCGCUUGAAUAAUUAAGAUCUUUAAUGGAAAAUUGUGCAAUCUUCUGUCCUAGGAGAUUUUACGAAGCCUCUUGGCCCCAAAGGAAGUAAUCAGACCAAAAAUGAUUUCUCGGAAGUUGCCUGAGUGAAUCCUUUGAAUGAAAGCAACCAUCUCAAAAACCAUAAACAGCAGAUUAAGGCUUUGAAGGGAGAAGUGAGAGCUGCACAGUCUUGGCUGGGAGGGAAAAGAACAUGGAAGAUGGCCACAUUUAUAUCCCACCAAAUUCCCUUUAAGUGUUUGUUUUUUUUUAGGUAAUCUCUACUCUGUACCCCAUGUGGAGCUUGAACUCAGGACCCUAGGAUCAAGAGUUGUAUGCUCCACUGACUGAGCCAGCCAGAUGCCCCUCCCUUCACAUCUUAAUCAGCAUAUGGACGUAUAUUUUAUAUCGUCAGAGUUUGUGUGUGCCAUU